AGACCUUGUGUGGUUUUUUGUGUCUGUCAGUAAUCAGGAGCAAAAAAGAGACUUUUUUCUCUAAUUGUCCAUCUAAUUUUCUUUAACUGAGGAAAUGGCUCUUUUUGUGGACAUUUCUCUCCAUUGGGCAGGUUAGAGGGACUGCUUUGGGCAUCUUGUGCAGUGCUUGAAUGAAUGGGAGGAAAAGUGCCUCUUGGUGCACGACAGUUAUUCAUUGCCUCCUCCUUGAGAAGGAGGUUAGUGUAUCACAGCAUGAUUAAGGGCAAGAGAAUCUUACUUUAAAUCAGAGAAAGAUUGGGAAGAAAUUAAAAUUUACUUCCUCAGGCCACAUAUAUUUUUCUUCUCACUGCUGUCUUUCCUCCAUCACGGAGCUCUGGCACUGUUGGCAUGUACAAUCCAAUGGGUACAGCAGGGCCAGCAGCGUGAUGGAUUUCAACGUCACAGAGAGAGUACUGAGUGAAGCACACGGGGAAAAAAGAGAAAAGAAAAGAUCCUUGGAUUUCAUUGCACAAAUAAAUGCCAGAAUGAAACAGGUCUGGUAUGACUUCAGCUCCCUGCUACCCAAAGUCAAUCACACCGAAAUGCUCAUACAAGCAAGAAAUACUGUACCGCUCUGGCACAGGUGAAAUAUUGUGUCUAGAAUAAACCUUUUUGACCACUUCAAUGCUGCCUAAAACUUAAGAAUAGACUUAGCAAUAUUUUAGAGGAGGCUAGAACUUUUCACCCAACCAUAUAGCAAGGGUAAUUAGUACUGCAGUUUGUCAAGGCUGGGUUGGAGGACAGAUGCUGAGCUGUGGGGCCCCAGCUGAAGCUUUCCUCACCCAUUUUAAGUGCUGUGCAUUGAAUACAAGAGGUGUGUGUCCUACACUGUGCCAUCACCAAUCCUCAGCCUAAUUUUUUUUUUUUUGUGCAGCACAGGUCCAUAUUUCCCGUGGUGAGCCAAGGUGUUCCCAGCUGUGUCCUCAGCUGUUACAGCUAGGACCCCAGAGAUAAAGAGCGGGAGCAGAGCUCUCAGAGGAAAGGCAAAGGUGACUUGGCACCUCCAUGUGUUGCUGACUGAAAUGGAGGCAAAACUGCUUAUUAAACAACCAGAAUUUGCAGUUUCCAUCUGCCCCAAGCUGGACUUCGGGCUAGAGGUGUAGCUGCAGGCUGCUGAUCUCCUAAGAAGCACAGGAUUUGGGGUCUGUCUGUGCCACAGUACCAAGAGGUUGUUUAUCUCUUUCUGGGAAGGUUUUAACCCAAGACUUAUAAUCCUGUGCAAUAGUGUCAGCCUCAGAAAACGGAUGCAACAGCUAAGCCACAGUCAUAGACAAGGUUUUUGCACAGGAGAGUGGACAUAUGGAGGACACGCACAUUGUUAUCUGCUUCUUUCAGUGUGCCUGAAGGACAGACACAAAGCCUCCUGCACUGCUUAGCUGCAACAAGUGCCAGGAGAAAAGGGAAGUCCCAUGCACGGAAGCCAAGCUUCUAGCUGCAGCCAAUGGAAAAGGAAAAAUCCAGAGGUGAGCAAAGGCCAGAAUAUCACCCAGCCAGCAGCUGAUAAAACUUAGGCUUGACAGACCCUUCCUUUCCCUGGAGCUGUCUGGGUUCAGCUUUCAUCCUUCCUCCAUGAUUUGGAGUAGUGACUAAUUCUCUUGACUUUGGAAGACCUCCUCACUGACUGUGGUGUUUUGGGAAGCAAAGAUGUCUUGGGAGAUGGCUCUCCUUCCUAGAACUAUUCAAGGAAUAUGUGGGAAGAUACUCCAAAAAGCCAGAAACCUUUGUCCAAACAUGCUCUAAUUUCACUUUAUUUUUCUCCCAAGGAGACCACCUGCUCUCAGGCAGCAAAGGGCAGCAGCUGUGCAGGGCUCUUGCAAGUCCUUACAGCCCCUGAUUGUCCUCAGCUGGGCCUGCUAACUGGUAUUUAAGCUCCAGCUGAGGAGCACAGUUGGCUGUUGUUUCUCCUGCUUGGCUGCUGGGGGUGCUGGGCUCUAUCUUUGAGGCAGACUUCAUGGCCCCUGUCCUGCAUAACGGUGUGUGUUGGAAUAACAGGUGUAUGAGGACAGGGUGAUCACCUUCCUGGUGGAAUGCAGAAGUGAAACACUGCAGGAGCAAAAUUCACGAGCCAAGAGAGCAGGUCACUGACCCUCCUUCGAUCAGCACACAGCAGUUUCUCAUUCUUUAGAGUGGAUUUUGAGAUUUGAAAAUAGAAAUUAAAUCCCUCAAAGUAUCACAGGAAGAGAAUGGACUCACAAGAUGAUAAAAAUAUUGUCACCUUUAUCAUAUUUUUCAAAGGAGUGUGCCCUUCCGAAAACUUGUGAACAAAUAAUGUCUCCAGAAGAUGUCUGAUGUAGUGUAAACAGUGACAGAAGCAGGCCAAGCUGCAAGAGAAAAAAAAAAAAGAAAGGAAAUUAAGCACUCUACAAAUAUGCAAAGCAGAGUGAAGAGACCGCCCUUGGUUUGUUUAAAGCAAGAUGGAUUUCUGCUCUUAUUUGGUAUGUAUCUUCUACAGCCUGAUGGUCAAGCCAGCUUUUCCCUACAACUUCUUCACUUGUAGUCUAACAUGUGAUUUAAAGUGUAGUCAACUUUCCAGUAAAUGACUAUCAUGUGUAAGGUUCAAGACUACUUUUUUUGGAAAAAAAUGUUAUGAAUAAAUGCAUAUUUUACAGCUGUGGGUUGCAGUCAUUACACUUUUCAUUCAGAAAAAGAUUAUUUCAAAAUGUCAAAUCCUGGUUUUCCUGUACUUCCACAGCCAGAAAACUUUGAAUUUUCCAUUUGAAGCCAAUGGAAGUAAACUUUUCAUUUACAGGAAUUCAAGAAUCAAAGGACCUUCUGGGUCAUCCACGCCAGUUCUAUUCUUCCUUCAGACACCAAUGCACAAAGCAUCACAUUUCUUUUUAAGAUUUAAAAUACCAUAUUCGUAUUUUGUGCUAUAACUGAAGGAAGAGUACUAAGUGGAAGAUAUUAAGGGAACUUAACACUACCUUUUGUGAGUGCAAGUUAAUCAGAUAGUUAUCCACUUUCAUACCUCUUUCACAUUUAUAAGUCAAGGAAUUAUGCCAAAUCUGGUGGUCUGUAUGUAAUUGCAUCACACAGUUCUUGCACUAAAGAAUUAUUGUAGGGUUUAGAGGUCAGCAGGAUAUCAAUAAGAGUUUGAAUAAUAGAAUUUCAGCAAAUAAGUAAUCUUUCAUUCAACAUUUCUCUCUGAAUACCUUUUUCUAUUUGUGACGUGCCAGUACCACUGCGCUGCUAAGUCACCCAUAUUGUAACAGGAAUUUUCCAUAACUGCAGAAAUUCAGAAAUUCUGCCACUCCCAUUGCUCAUUAACCACUGCCCCAUCUUCAGCCAGAGUACAUUUGUUCAAAAGGGUGACAGCAGUUUAUUGCAGCUGAGGAUCAGCUGCAAAACAGAUAACCAGCUAAUGGGAAAGGCAGGUGAUUUCCAAAUUCAGCACUCAACAAAUACUUCAUCAUUACUGCUUUUGCACCCUGUCCUUGUUUUGGGACCAUGAUGUAUUAUAAGAAACCAGUAGUAUUCCAAAGAAAGUCAAUUAGCAAAACACUGUUCUAGCUGAUUUCUGUAUUUUGUGAAUUUGACUUCUAGAUCAGAUUGGCUUUCUUAUUGUCAGUUUUCAAAGUCAGAAUUAAAAACUGGGCACUGUUUUGUUUUAACCUUUCCCAGUGUGUCCCACACAGCUCUCUUGGUGAACCAGUAUGCUGGUCAUGCCCAAAGAGAUAUAAAUAAACGAGCUCAGCAUGGAAAUGAUGUAGAGGUAACUACACAUAGACAAGUGCUGUCAGCAGCUGCACAAAGGCUUUGUGUAUAAUCCAGUCUUUUACUCAGCAGACUGCAGAGAAGUGGCUACCAAACAGCUGGCUCUGACCUCAAUGCAGCCUUGCCAGAAGCGCAGAUAUUCCGAAUUACGGUUUGAGCUGAGGUAGUUUCCAGCACACAUACGUAAGUAGAGGGCUGUCUCACUGAGCAAUCUUCCAGAUUAUUUAUUAUCUGGUCACAUGAACCUUGGCAUAUGAGAUAAUCUGAAUGACUAAUAUUUCCAGUGAUUGUGGGCCAAAUUAGCUAAGAAUACACAUAACCACAUGCUUGCUGUGUGCAGUCAUGUUAAUUUACACCAGCCAAGUUUGUCUCUAAAGGUGAUGAAUUGUUUUUGUACUGAUAGCUGGGUAUUUCUAUUAAAAAAAAAAAAAACCUCUCUCUUUGCAAGAAAUUGCCUUAAAACGUGUCAGACACAAAAAAAGAGCUUUUUCUCUCUCUGCCAAAUAUGAGAGGAGAAGUAAAGAGAAUGUAAUUCAUUAGCAGAGAGAAGGUGUGCAGAAUUCAACAUGCACACCUAUUUCUCAGCAAAUCUGACUAGACUGGUACAUCCCCAUGCCCUGUGACCUUUUAUUAAGGGGAACUGAGUAAUGUUACUGUUCACCUCAGCAGCUGAAUAGCAGAACCUGUUGGGAAGCCACUGUCACAACACUUUUCUACCAGGAAAAUGGAAUUUUUCUGGCAAAUCCCUGGAUGUGUAAAUUUGUGUUGACUUCAAAUUUAAAAAAUGGAAUAGAAAUUUAUUUAAAAAUUCGCUUCUGGCACAUGCUGGAAAAUCUUUUUUUUUUUUUUGUAUUCAUAUAAUGAUUAUAUGUGUUAUAGUCAUUACUUUCUAUUUCUCAUCUGUAUCAAACUUUCAUUAUUUCUGCAUUAUUUUAAAACACAGCUGUCCUGAUAGCAAAAUAAUGUAACACAUGGCUCUCAUGUCAACAAAAAUAAUCCAAUAGGAAAUCAUAUGCAAAUAAAUGCACUAUUAAGUUGUAAAAUAAAUUGAACUUGAAAUAUUUAUUGUGUCAUAACAGAUUGAAAUAUUUCAAAACUAAUUUGUAAUGUAAUCUUUCCCAAAUUCUACUUCAUCAAAAAUUCAAGACUCAUUUUUUUCCACUGUCAUUUUCAAAGAAAACAACAUUUGGGAUAUGCACUUAAAAGCAAAAUAGUUGACAAAAAAUAAAGUAAUAAAAACCGCAAACAACAAACUUUUUAAAAAUUAUAAUAUUUAUUAGAAAUAAAUAUUGUGUUGUUUUAUUGAACAAUGUAUAAACAAUAAAGAAUAAUAAGCAGUAAUUUUGACCCAUAUUUCUCAGAAGGAAAGUGAGGCUCAGGGUGUUGUUUAUGUUUUUUGUUGGAAUUUUGAUUGCCAGUUCUAGCACAGAUAAAGCAUAUGGCUGAGCUGUGGAACCUCUGAAUUUGUCUUCCCUUUUCUAUCAAAUAGCUGUAUAGAUUUUUGUUUGCUUUUUUAUAUCUACACACACUGCUAAAACUAAAAAUCAAGAAGGGCACCCAAGAAACUCAGCCAAUAUUUAGCACAAGAUUGUCACAAUCUAUUUGGGGGACUGCAUGAAAUAAAAAAAGCCAAAAGAUCAACCAACUCAAAAGAAAUUUCACAGAAGAAUAUAUUUUGGCAAAACAAAUAAAUCUAUGAGUAGCAGGGCUAAUAAAGCAGGUCUGUGGAGGAGAGUUGGAAGCUGAGAAGCAGCAGAAAGGAAUGGGAAAUGAGGGUGAUAUAUGAGAACAACCAGGCAGCAUCAGGUCUGUUAGAAAUCCAAGUACUUUUCAUUAUUCAAUACCAAGUGCAAUGAAGAGAUGCUUGCUGUACUUCUGGUAGAGGUCCUCUGAUUGCCACAAUUUGUUCUUUUGAAGCACAAGAAAUGUAGCUCUUAAGGAAGAAUAGCUUGCAUUUUAAGGACUUUUUAAAAUCCAAAAUUGUUUAAACAUAGUCAGAUACAAUAAUAGCAUUAACAUAUACUGCUGAGUAUUUACAGAUCCAUGACCACAUGGCUCAGGUGUUUUGUGAAGAAUCACACAUUGAAUUUCAGAAAGAACCUGAAGCAUGUUCUGAUGGAGCAAUAAAUCAUAUGCAGAAGUAUUUUAAUGCUAAUAAUGCCUAUAAGAGAUGCCAUUAUGCACCUAACUUUCCAUCAUGGGCUGUGCUGUUAAGUAUUAGACUAAUAAAACACUUACUGCUCCCUAUGAUCUUGUAUUGCUCCAGUACGUUUAUAAUUUGCAAUAAUCUCUGAAUUAUCUCUGAUGCAAUAAGGCAAAUGUGUGGCUGGGGUAAAAUGUCAUAACUUUGGUGGGGAAGAGGACAUUUUCACACUGGCUGGGAAUCUGUCUCUAUAGAUAAAAUUUUGGCAAUAUUCACUGCUCUGGUGGCAUAGCUGGCUUUUGCUGCUGGCCAGAAUGUUCAGGAAGAGUUGGAGCACCACCAGUGUCUCAUAAAUUCACUCUUGUUUUUGCUCAACUUUGAAGCAACUUUUUUUUUUAAAUAUUUAUUAUAUUUGCUUCUUUAUUUCUUCCCCCAGGCUUAGGCUUUUUUUAUCUAAAAUAAGAGAUGUAUAAAAUCUGUCAUUUAAAGGCACUUCUACGCUUUGAUUAGUAUCAGCUGAAGCAUUAGUCAUCUGUUGUAGCUUCUGGAAUUCUUUAAAUUAUCCCUUUGCAAAUGCUAAAUGCCCUAAAGUUAGCAGCUUUUCCCUUCCCCAGUCUCUCUCUUCUAGAAAAAUCAAAGGCCAUUUCUCCAGGUAUUCCAUUUAAAAAGCCAUCUCACAGCAAGCAAAAAGUAAUAUGUAUAGUUGACUCUUUUCAUCUGAAACCAUCCGUAGCUAUAUUGACAUUAAAAUUAUGUGAAGGAAGAAAUAAGUGUCAUGCAUUGCUACAACAGAAUUUGAAUAUGUUUACCUACUCUACCAAGUAUAAGUAAUAACUGAGGAAGAAAAUACUACUGUCAUCACUUCCAGCACUGUGGACUGUGCAUAAGAUUCAAUGCUUACAGGUAAGAAAAGACAAAUAUUUUAUAAAUUUUUUUUUUUUUCUCAGUGUCCCCCAGCAGGGGCCAGAUCCCUGUUGUGCUGGAUGCCGUGAAAACGUACAGUGAAAGACACAAGACACCAUGAAAUCCUCCUUCCAAAAGGAAGUAAAAAAAGAGGAUUUCCACAGCAAUGAGCCUACAUCCAGCUAUUUUUGUGUCUGUGUCCCUUCAGCCAUUUUGCUGUGGGAAUUGCUGGUAUGUGGGACUCAGCAUCCAUUUCUCACUACGGGAGCCCCCUACUUUGACACAGCUGGUUAUUCAGCCCCUUUUGGUAUCUCUGGCAUCAGAGGUGGCAUGCCAUUCAUGAUAGAUUGCUUGAAUGAGAAAAAAUUAUGAUAAAAAUCCUCUGCAUGAAAUGAGACCACUAUGGAUGGUCACAGGUUCUGCUCAUUCUCUGUAGAGAAAAAUGCACAGUCCUCUGAAAUGAAAUAUUAGAACUGAAACAUUUAGCAGGGGGGAAUACUUAAAAUGGCCAUGAAAGUAUUCAUUUCUUUCCUGGGAAAGAAAUUUGCUUCCCUAGAAUGAUGCUAAUGGGAAGAGCCUGACAUCAGAGGCAAUGUUCUGGUGCUGCAAAGAGUUCCUUUGCAGAGUUUCAUUGCCUACUUUAAUGACUGCACUCGCUCACCUAAAAUGAAUGUGGUAUGUCUAACCUCCAAGCCAUGAUGUGAGAAGUUAUUUUUAUUUGCUAGAGCUGACUGUGCAAAAGAGAUGACUGUUCUCCUCGGCUGUUCACUUUCUGUGACAGAGCAGCAACCCACAGGCAAGAGAAAGAGAUUUCUGAUACCAGAGACAGCAUUUCUGCAUGCAAAUGGCUUUGCUGGCAUGCCAGCAGAAAUUCAUUGCACUGUUAAGCCACAGCAAGCAGGUACAAAGACACUGCUGCUUCAGGUGCUUUUCAAACAAACAAACCAAACAAAACAGAAACAAACAAACAAACAAAAAGCUUAUAACUCCUUCAGAGAAAAACAGGCCUUUCAGAGCAAUCAGAAUAAGCUCAAUUCAUCUUUGGCAAAAGAUGUAGUGAUAUACACACAGUAAUAUUUAAGUGCAAGAAGUGUUGAAUAUGUACAAGUGACUGGGUUGAUGCAUAGAUUUGUGUGCAAGGCAUUUUAAUUCCCUAAAAAUAUUAAUAUUCCCAUGACAUUCAUUGUAGGCAUUGCACAGCAAACAAUGCCUAGAACUCACAAACAUACAGCUACAAGUUCCUCCAGUGUGUACUGUGAGCCGUAAAUGUUCAAUUAUCUCAACUGGGUUUUACAAAGACGUUUCAGUGGGAGAAGGCACUGGGUAGAGGAUGGAGAGCUGGCUUAAGGAAAAAUAGGAAAGUAGCCUCCAUUAUCUUUGCAACACAUCAAGGAAAAAGGCUCUUCCUGCACACCUGAAGAAGCAAGACCUCUUCUGCAGGCUUAAGGAAGUGUUCUGAAAAGAGGGGGGAUGGGGGGGGGGGGGGGUCACUGCACAGUAGCCAAAACCUGAGUUUGCACCUCUGUUUACAGCUUAGCUUGCAAAAUCGCACAGCACAAAACAACUGAGCUCUGAGGCUUUCUCUGCUGGUUUCUCCAGAGGUGAUUUAUUCUGUAAAAUCUGUACCGUGUAACAUUUCCUGCCUUAAAAGCAAGUCAUGCAAAGUUAAUUACAUUGCACUAUGUUUGUGGGAAAAUACAUUUUACUACAAGUUAAUUUGAAGAAAAAAAUAUUAUAGAAUGAAUGCUAUAAAAGAAAUAGUUAUGAGUUGCUUUAACAGCAUUUAUAAAUCAAAUCACUGCACAUCAAUAACUUUAAAACCAACCUACAUCAAGUUUUUGGAACAAUGUAUGAGGGAAACAGUUUUUGAGUAGCCAUGUAUUUUUUAUAAGUUGUGGGUGGCAAAAAAUGUGGGUUAUUUUUUAAAAGUACAAAAAGGAAUUGUUUUCUUUCAUUUAUAAGACUUGAUGAUUUUUGCAUGUUCUGCUGUUUUCUGUGGCUUUUUGGAAGCACCACAGAAGCUAAAAUCCUUAGACCCUUUGUGAUGCUAUUUAAUUGAAAAUAUUUCUUACAAGAAAUCUUUAAUUACAUGCUUUCGUCUUUACACAGAGAUAGGAAUUUCAUCCAUACAAAUUAAUAAAUUGCAAGGAAAAAGGGGACUUUUGGUUAUCUAGGCUCACCUGCUUUUUUACACUGGCCAAAGAAGAGAUUUAUUCCUUGCUAAAUACUUCUUUCACUCAUUGAGCAAGAAACAUGCAUGAUCAUGUUUAAACUACAGAAUAUUUUCACAUAAAUGCAGUAUUGCUCUGCAUGUUAAAGAGUUGAACAUUGGCCCACAAGACACUCAACUCUUGCUUGCCAUCCUUGCCUGUAAAAAUAUGGGCCAAAUUUCUUGGCUAAAUUUUCCUAAGUGUGGCUUUCAGGCCCCAACUCUUGCAAGGCCUUUGGCUGCUUGGAUAAGAGCCUUUCUGCUCAGAGACAUCUUCUCCUGGGUCUGCCUCUCUGGGGAGCGGGGAAAAAAAGAAGGAAAACCCAGGAUGCUGUCCUGCAAACCGGCCCUGACACCUGGACUCUUGUCCUGUCAUGGGCAGUGUGUGGAGCAGCGGGCUGCUCAUACAGCUCCUCUACACUUCAGUGCCUACUCCCAGAACACCUCCUCCUGAGCAUUUAUAUACUGCUUUUAAGGACAGUUGCAGCCUAAGUUUAAAUAACUUUCUCUACUUCCCCUAGUUUGGGGACAUUUUGUAGAAUAACUGGGAAAAAAGCCCUGAAGCUGGUUUGGGAUUCUCCCCCAUGCCCCAAAAUCAGAAAUCUCUUCUCCAUGGUACAUCACCUCAGAAUCAAUUUCAAGAGCAAAUCUGGGGGAAAAGAUCUCAUGCUGCUAUUAUUUCUCUUCUAAAUUCUUUAAGUAACCCACUGGAAAAGCUUGUGUGCACCAAACCACUUGCAUAAUGUCAUAUCCAUAGCAGAGAAAGUCCCCAGAGCAGGUUGACAAUAUCAAAUAAAAGAAACUGUACUUCUAUAAAGAUUUUCAUGUUCACAGCAUGCUUGUGCAAAAUAAACUGCCACUGUUGCUGACUUAUGUGAAUUUAAGAUUAAGAACUUUGCAAGAUGAGGUAAUUUUCCUCCAAACCCAGCUCCUGUAGGAGAUGACUAUGGAACCAAAAUGUCUGGGAUUUUUCUCUUCUUCUGCUUCCUUUCAUUAUUUUUUUCUGCCUUUCCUGGUUGUGGAAAAGUCUGCAAUAUGGUGUGAACAUGUUUUAAAGGCUUAAAAAACAAGUAAGUAUUUAUUCUGUUCCUUGAAGUUAAAGACAAUAACAAUAAGUUAAAGACUUAUAAUAUAUGUGACUGAUCCUUCCCAAAAGUGUAAGAUAGGAAAGAAAACGAAAGGAAAUAAUGCUAGUUUUCCUUUUUUAAAUUGAGAAUUAAUUCAGAGACUUAAUUGUGCUGGAUUCAAAACUUUGGAUUGAUGCCAACUGAUUUUUCAAGAUGAUAGAAACCAAACACACCUUUUAUAAAAUCUUGAUAUUGCAUUGAGGACAGGAAAAUUUUUCUUGCUAAAUACCAGAACUAGUUAAAUGUACAAUAAUUUUGCAGAUUUUACAGAGCUCCACUAAUCUGAAUGGGAUUCAUAGGCACAUGCACGGAUCUCAGAGAAACUCAACCUCUUGGAAGCAGCUCCUGGUGUUUAACCACAGAGCAUUAAGCAUUGAAUCGCUCUGACUUAGUUUUUAUUGGGUGGAGAAAGAAAGGGUUCUUCUCUAUGCCAUUACAAUAGUUUUUCACUUUAGAUUUAUUAAUCUAAGAAUGUUUUAAAUACAUUUGCUAAAUCAUAAUAUUCUGAACCACUAGCAAUAUGCAAUAAGAAUCUAAAUACAUGCAUUUUAAAAUUUAUGGUUCCUAUUAUCUUCUAUUCUGGCAAGCAGUAAUUACAUGCAAACCAAAGAAAUUAAGUUAAUCAUAACUAUCUCACAAACAGGAAACAGGCCUUAGAAGUGUCAUGUUGGGCCUGUACCAGUUAUAUUGAAUUAAACAGAAAAUUAUGCAUAAUCCAGUACACCACUCUCCUGUUUGCUCUGACAGGAAACUGAAAUUAAGUUCACCAAUACUAACAAGUGUUCAUGGAAGAAACGAACUCAACUUCUAUAACUUCAGGGUUUACUUAGGGAUUAUCACAGCAAAUUAAGGGACUUAAACAGCCAGGUGAAUGAGCAUUCAGAAACCAAAUUCUUUAGGCAGUCUUGGAAACCUCAGCUUUGUGCUAUACUUGUACCGAUUCCUUGGUACUGUGCCAAAAAUAUUUUUUUUAAAGCCUCUGCUGCUGGCCAUGUAAAUUGAACAUAUAUUUCUGUUUCUGAGCAGAGACUUGCAGCUGUUCUUGCUACCCUGUGUGUAUUUACCUCUGAAUAGAGUUAUUUAGCAAUCACCACUCAUGUCUCUCUUUUCACCAUUACAGGGGCAGAGUUCAUAGUUUGGAGGAGGUGUAGAAAAUCUUCAGGGUCAGAAAAACUCAAAAUAAAGGUUAAAACACAGGUCUGAUAUCAUCCCAGUAGCAUGCAGCAUGAAAGGAUUCCUGAAACUUGGCUCUUGGCCUAAUGCUGUUUCUGUACUAUACAUAUUUUAAUGACAUUAUAGGAAAGCUCAAGAUAAGAAACAGAUUUAUCUUUCUUUUGAUCAAAACUUAAUUCUAAAUGUAUGUAGAUAAGCUAACAACUGUGUAAAUAUCACUCAAUAAAGUCAUGUGAAUACUACCGUCAAAA